CGGAGUUGACGGUUUGUUGACGGCUCUGCAGAAUUUGGACUCGUGCAUACCCACAGUUGCGAAGCAGGUUGACCAGUGAGGACAACCAGGAAAACAGGACGGUUUUUCUACCAGCACUUUCCAUGCACGUUUUCCCAGAAGACACAGAAAACAGCAGAGAUGAACUGUUACAAGGACUCGAGGAGAAAAUUGGAGGGGGCUUUUCACCACUGAAGAUGGCACUUGUCUCUGGCUUUUCUAGGAAUUUCACCAAAUGGAGCAGAGUGAUCCAGGGGAAAUGAAAGCAAUAAAUGAGAUUUUAAAAAGAA